CUUGAUUUCUAUAGGUCUGGAAUCUGAGCAUGGCUUAGCUGGGUCCUCCAGCUCAGCAACUUUCACAGGCUGUAGUCAUCUCAGUGAGCAACUGAAGGAAAAUCUGCCUUCAAGCUCACUGGCGUGCAUGGUUGUUGACGGGAUUCCAUUCCUUGCAGGCAUUUGGACUGAGGGCCUCAUUUACUCACUGGCUGUCGGCCAAUUCCUUACCAUAUGGGCCUCCCCACAGGGCAACUUGAAAUAUGUCAUCUUCCUUCCCCAGAGCAAGGAGAGCCAUAGAGUGAGAGAGCAGGUUAGCAAAAGAUAGUGCUGGCAAGAGGGGAGUCACAGACUUUUAAAACCUAGUCUUGGAAGUGACAUCCCCUCACUUUUGCCAUAUCCCAUUCCUUAGAAUCAGAUUACUAGGUCCAGCUGCACAAAAGAGGAAGGGAUUACAGGAGGGCACAAAUACCAGGAGGCAAAGAGCAUUAGGAGCUAUCUUAGUAAUCAGCCUAUCAUAGCAGGGAUAUUUCAUCUCAUCCUCCUUAAGUUCAUUAUUUGGAGUUUAGGCAAUUUUCCCUCUAACAGGAAUGUACCAGUUCAAUAGCUGAAAGAUCCCAGGGCCGUGCUUGGCUAUGAUCAAAUCGCUUUUAGCGAACAGACAGGAGUAGAAUGGAGCCAGCAACUUUCCGAGGGCUGUGCUAACGGCGUAAGAGCUGCAUUCCUAAGGAAUAUGGUAGUGAGACAUACAACGUUUGUGUUUCUCAUGAACUUCAUUUAUGAGCUUCACUAAAGCACAUCUCAUUUGGGCAGGAAAUGAAGUAUAGCACAUGCCACAUACCUUAUAGACAAGUCUUAACAUGGCCCCAGUUCUACCCUUUGUUUCAACUUCGGCCAAGAAAUUUAAUCUUCAUCAGAAAAGAAUUCCAAGACAAGUUUCCAGAACAACUUAAAAGCAGUUGAAGAUUAAGGAGUCGGUGUUCCAUUCUUUCUGUUUUGCCUGUGAAAAUGCCUUUGGAGACCCACAACCUGGGUCUGUCACCACCACCUGAACACACAACACAAACUCCCUCAUCUCCUUGCCUGGGGAUGGGUGUCUUGCUUCUAUGGAUCUUCUGCUCAUCUUUCCAGAUGUAGGUAAAGGGCAUGUACUCUGAGGAGGGGUCUGAUAAUUUCUCCAGCCAGAAUUCAUU
rnacentral:lncRNA from 1 species